GCUGGCUCAAGUUUGAGAACUACUGCUCUGUAGUCCAGAACAUCUUUCUGGGAAUUAGCUGGGAUGCAAAACCAUGUUGCCAUCUGAUCUCAUCACACUUCUGCCAAGAGGUGAAAUCUAAGAGUCCACGUUCUUGAUGCCUGACAUCUUCUUCAGGUCACUUACCUGAGAACACCUGAGGACACUGAGUGACUCGGAGGAGGCAACUCCGUCCCCAAUUCCGGGGUAGAUAUUGAUCAGCCUACAUAUUCUAUCUCCUAAGAACAUUCUUUCUUCUGGCUCUCGACACUGUCAGGUUUGACUGAGACUCCUAGACAUCUGGCUACCAGCCUGCUGAUGAAACUUACCCAGAAGCAGAGAGCAGAGCCAAAGGAAUUGCAGAAGAGCAGUAUGAGGAUAUACUGUGGAUAGACCUUGAUCUAUCCCUGAAGUUCUUAUUAUGUCGGAAGCCAAGCAGCAUUCAGCUAGGUGAUCCUUCUGUUCCACGUAGCAUCGACUGAGCUCACUGAGUGGCAUUCAGCUGGCUAAUAAGCUUGUCUGAAGAGUCCAAAAUGUCUUCCCUCACAUAUUUGGCAUCUUGGCAGCGAUGGCUGGAAGUCUACACUCAGCUGAGAGCUUCAAGCAGAACACAUCUAUGUGGCUUCUCCAGCAUGGCCAUCUCAAGGUAGUCAGACUUCUUAUAUGGGCCUUAGGGCUCUUGGAGAGAGAAAGUUCUAAGAGCCAGGAAGUGGAAGCUGCCAGUCUCUUCAGGCCCAAGCCUGAACUGGCACAGAAUCACUCGGGCCACAUGCUCUGGGUCAAAGCAGGCAUAAAGGCUGUCCAGAUUCAAGAGGAGGUAGCAUAGAUUCUACCUCUUGAUGGGAAAGUUUCAAAGUGUUUAUGACUACCUUUAAUUCUCCACAUUACUUAAUUCAAUUGGAGACAGGUUUUCUGUUAUUUACAGACAAAAGGAUCCUAGAUAAUUAAAGAAAUUCAAGGUUCUUUCAACUCUGGGAAGAGAUUUCUUCCUGUUUCUCUUACACAGGGUCUGUAAACUUUUUCCACAAAAAGCCAGAUAGUAAAUAUUUUAGAUUUUAUAGGCCACACAGUCUCUCAACUCUGCCAAUGAGG